rnacentral:rRNA from 1 species
AUUGAACGCUGGCGGCAGGCCUAACACAUGCAAGUCGAGCGGAUGAAGAGAGCUUGCUCUCUGAUUUAGCGGCGGACGGGUGAGUAAUGCCUAGGAAUCUGCCUGGUAGUGGGGGAUAACGUUCCGAAAGGAACGCUAAUACCGCAUACGUCCUACGGGAGAAAGCAGGGGACCUUCGGGCCUUGCGCUAUCAGAUGAGCCUAGGUCGGAUUAGCUAGUUGGUGAGGUAAUGGCUAACCAAGGCUACGAUCCGUAACUGGUCUGAGAGGAUGAUCAGUCACACUGGAACUGAGGCACGGGCCAGACUCCUACGGGAGGCAGCGGUGGGGAAUAUUGGACAAUGGGCGAAAGCCUGAUCCAGCCAUGCCGCGUGUGUGAAGAAGGUCUUCGGAUUGUAAAGCACUUUAAGUUGGGAGGAAGGGCAGUAAGUUAAUACCUUGCUGUUUUGACGUUACCGACAGAAUAAGCACCGGCUAACUUCGUGCCAGCCGCCGCCGUAAAAC